AAGCUUGUGUCAAUAAGGGCACACUUCAGUGGUAACACUGUCGGCUAAACCUUGUGAAUUCAGGGAAAGAGAAUAGGGUAGAAAAUAUUCAUUUAGAAUCAACGAAGAAAAAAAGCUUUUUUAUUUAUUAGAGCCCUAUUUCUCCAACCCUGAGCCAAGCCCUGAAAAAUGAAGCGUUUCAUUUUUUAGGGAAGGUGCAGAGACUAUCGAAAUCACUUCAUCAUGAAGCGAGUUAGAGUAGUGAUGAGGGAAGAGAGUAGAGUACACUAUGAGGUUAAACCUCAUGGUGGAAGCGCAAGGGUUCUUGCUCGAUAUCGCAGUUGAGCAAGAAUAUGAUAUAGUCCACCUACUUUCUAAAGUAGA
rnacentral:ncRNA from 1 species